UACGGGGGGGGCAAGCGGUGUUCGGAAUUACUGGGCGUAAAGGGCUCGUAGGCGGCCAACUAAGUCGGACGUGAAAUCCCCAGGCUCAACCUGGGAACUGCGUCCGAUACUGGAUGGCUUGAAUCCGGGAGAGGGAUGCAGAAUUCCAGGUGUAGCGGUGAAAUGCGUAGAUAUCUGGAGGAAUACCGGUGGCGAAGGCGGCAUCCUGGACCGGCAUUGACGCUGAGGAGCGAAAGCCAGGGGAGCAAACGGG
rnacentral:rRNA from 1 species